GGGGAAUCUUGCGCAAUGCGCGAAAGCGUGACGCAGCGACACCGCGUGAGGGAAGACGGCCUUCGGGUUGUAAACCUCUUUCAGGAGGGACGAAGGCAGGCCGGUUAACAGCCGUGCCGGCUGACGGUACCUCCACAAGAAGCACCGGCUAACUACGUGCCAGCAGCCGCGGUAAUACGUAGGGUGCAAGCGUUGUCCGGAAUCAUUGGGCGUAAAGCGCGCGUAGGCGGCCCGAUAAGUCCGCUGUAAAAGUCAACGGCUCAACUGUUGAAAGCCGGUGGAUACUGUCGGGCUAGAGUACGGAAGAGGCAAGUGGAAUUCCUGGUGUAGCGGUGGAAUGCGCAGAUAUCAGGAGGAACACCUAUAGCGAAGGCAGCUUGCUGGGACGUUACUGACGCUAAGGCGCGAAAGCGUGGGGAGCGAAC
rnacentral:rRNA from 1 species